rnacentral:rRNA from 1 species
GACGAACGCUGGCGGCGUGCUUAACACAUGCAAGUCGAACGAAGAGCGAUGGAAGCUUGCUUCUAUCAAUCUUAGUGGCGAACGGGUGAGUAACGCGUAAUCAACCUGCCCUUCAGAGGGGGACAACAGUUGGAAACGACUGCUAAUACCGCAUACGAUCUAAUCUCGGCAUCGAGGAUAGAUGAAAGGUGGCCUCUACAUGCAAGCUAUCACUGAAGGAGGGGAUUGCGUCUGAUUAGCUAGUUGGAGGGGUAACGGCCCACCAAGGCGAUGAUCAGUAGCCGGUCUGAGAGGAUGAACGGCCACAUUGGGACUGAGACACGGCCCAGACUCCUACGGGAGGCAGCAGUGGGGAAUCUUCCGCAAUGGACGAAAGUCUGACGGAGCAACGCCGCGUGAGUGAUGACGGCCUUCGGGUUGUAAAGCUCUGUUAAUCGGGACGAAAGGCCUUCUUGCGAAUAGUGAGAAGGAUUGACGGUACCGGAAUAGAAAGCCACGGCUAACUACGUG